AUAAUAUUCCCUCCAUCCGGAAUUACUUGUCGCAUAAAUGGAUGAAAAUGGAUGUAUCUAGAAUUAAAAUACAUCUGAAUACAUUUAUUUUUAUGACAAGUAUUUCCGAAGGGAGGGAGUGCUUG
rfam:Triticum urartu cultivar G1812 contig677359, whole genome shotgun sequence.